rnacentral:rRNA from 1 species
GACAGAGGUGGCGAGCGUUGUUCGGAUUUACUGGGCGUAAAGCGCGGGUAGGCGGUCCGGCCAGUCAGAUGUGAAAUCCCACCGCUUAACGGUGGAACGGCGUCUGAUACUACCGGACUUGAGUGCAGGAGAGGAGAGUGGAAUUUCCGGUGUAGCGGUGAAAUGCGUAGAGAUCGGAAGGAACACCAGUGGCGAAGGCGGCUCUCUGGACUGCAACUGACGCUGAGACGCGAAAGCGUGGGGAGCAAAC